ACGAGUGGCGGACGGGUGAGUAACACGUAGGUAACCUGCCCAGAAGCGGGGGACAACAUUUGGAAACAGAUGCUAAUACCGCAUAACAGCGUUGUUCGCAUGAACAACGCUUAAAAGAUGGCUUCUCGCUAUCACUUCUGGAUGGACCUGCGGUGCAUUAGCUUGUUGGUGGGGUAACGGCCUACCAAGGCGAUGAUGCAUAGCCGAGUUGAGAGACUGAUCGGCCACAAUGGGACUGAGACACGGCCCAUACUCCUACGGGAGGCAGCAGUAGGGAAUCUUCCACAAUGGGCGCAAGCCUGAUGGAGCAACACCGCGUGAGUGAAGAAGGGUUUCGGCUCGUAAAGCUCUGUUGUUAAAGAAGAACACGUAUGAGAGUAACUGUUCAUACGUUGACGGUAUUUAACCAGAAAGUCACGGCUAACUACGUGCCAGCAGCCGCGGUAAUACGUAGGUGGCAAGCGUUAUCCGGAUUUAUUGGGCGUAAAGAGAGUGCAGGCGGUUUUCUAAGUCUGAUGUGAAAGCCUUCGGCUUAACCGGAGAAGUGCAUCGGAAACUGGAUAACUUGAGUGCAGAAGAGGGUAGUGGAACUCCAUGUGUAGCGGUGGAAUGCGUAGAUAUAUGGAAGAACACCAGUGGCGAAGGCGGCUACCUGGUCUGCAACUGACGCUGAGACUCGAAAGCAUGGGUAGCGAACAGGAUUAGAUACCCUGGUAGUCCAUGCCGUAAACGAUGAGUGCUAGGUGUUGGAGGGUUUCCGCCCUUCAGUGCCGGAGCUAACGCAUUAAGCACUCCGCCUGGGGAGUACGACCGCAAGGUUGAAACUCAAAGGAAUUGACGGGGGCCCGCACAAGCGGUGGAGCAUGUGGUUUAAUUCGAAGCUACGCGAAGAACCUUACCAGGUCUUGACAUCUUGCGCCAACCCUAGAGAUAGGGCGUUUCCUUCGGGAACGCAAAGACAGGUGGUGCAUGGUCGUCGUCAGCUCGUGUCGUGAGAUGUUGGGUUAAGUCCCGCAACGAGCGCAACCCUUGUUACUAGUUGCCAGCAUUAAGUUGGGCACUCUAGUGAGACUGCCGGUGACAAACCGGAGGAAGGUGGGGACGACGUCAGAUCAUCAUGCCCCUUAUGACCUGGGCUACACACGUGCUACAAUGGACGGUACAACGAGUCGCGAACUCGCGAGGGCAAGCAAAUCUCUUAAAACCGUUCUCAGUUCGGACUGCAGGCUGCAACUCGCCUGCACGAAGUCGGAAUCGCUAGUAAUCGCGGAUCAGCAUGCCGCGGUGAAUACGUUCCCGGGCCUUGUACACACCGCCCGUCACACCAUGAGAGUUUGUAACACCCAAAGUCGGUGGGGUAACCUUUUAGGAGCCAGCCGCCUAAGGUGG
rnacentral:rRNA from 1 species